rnacentral:tRNA from 1 species
UCCCCGGAGGACUAGUGGUUAGGCCUCGGCGCUCUCACCGCCACGGCCCGGCUUCAAUUCCCGGCCAGGGAA